rnacentral:misc_RNA from 1 species
CUUUUCUUUAUACAAAAAAAAAAGUUCAUCUAUAAAAUUGUGAGGUCUCCAAUUUAAAUCCCAAUAGAUUACAAAUGAUACAGUCCAUUGUCACUAUUCCAGCCAAGCAAAAACUAACAGAGGGAAGGAAAUUUCUGUCCUAAGAUCAGGCUCAAAAUGAUUCCCCCUUUCUUAUUUUAAGCUUUUUUUUAAUCGUGGAAGAAAAUUGAAUUUUACAGUAAAAAAAUUCGGCACAAAAGAAUCCUGCUCCAAGAAAAGGAUUAGAAAAUGCACUAGAUACCGUCAUACCCCAUUGUUUCUACAGAUAUUCGCUCCCUUUUCAUACCAUGAUGCUCAAAAUUUUGACGAUUCUCAAAAGGUAUAGUCCACUUAGCUUUCUGUCUGUCUUGCAUUACUGCAACCAACAUUUUAAUCAAUGUAAUUAAACUUUUGCUGCAUACACAUGAAGCAUAAGGAUUUCAAUUUAUUCAACAUAGGCAUCAGGACAAACAACAAAUUAUUUUUCCUCUCAUUUAAAUGUGAAUAAAGACUGGUAGUAUCAGAGUGGUUAGUUCAACCAUCCUUUGGAAGAUUAACUUCUCUCAGAACUUUUGCUGCAUCUUCAGGGAAAACAGGAUUUAUGUAACAACCAGUUCCGAUUUCAAACCCUCCCACACCAGUCAAUUGAGGCACUAUCUGUAAAAACCAGUGAGUAUAAGGUAAUUGUGAUUCUUUAACCCGAAGUGGAGCUGUCUGGAUCAUGAAAUUGAAUGGUGGGUUAUUCAAUUGCACAGACAUCUUUCUAAGCAUGAGCUUUAGCAAACCCCCAAGAUCAACAGCCUUCUCACAACCUAAUUCAUGGAAAUGAGAACAGUGAUCCCGAGGAAUGAUCCAUAUCUCAAAUGGAAACGUGGCAGCAAAAGGAACAAUUGAGAUAAAAUGAGUUGACUCAUCAAUUAAAAGCUUUUCGAUGUGAACUACACAGAGACAACAUUUCCCUGUCUUAUCGAAGUACUCCUUUGUACCAUCAAGUCGAGCGGAAACGGCAGGAGGUACGAUGGGGAGAGCAAUUAUCUGACUGUGAGAGUGACUCAAUGAUGCCCCAGCAGAAGCACCAUGGUUCUUGAACACCUGCACGUAUUUGAUGGAUUCACAGCUCAUAA